rfam:Massilia sp. LC238 contig42, whole genome shotgun sequence.
AACCGCCGUAUGCGGAACCGCACGUACGGUGGUGUGAGAGGGCGGUGAGGGCGACCUCACCCCCUACUCGAU